rnacentral:rRNA from 1 species
ACAGCCCCGUACACAAAAAUGCACAUAUUGUGAGCUUGAUGAGUAGGGCGGGACACGUGGUAUCCUGUCUGAAUAUGGGGGGACCAUCCUCCAAGGCUAAAUACUCCUGACUGACCGAUAGUGAACCAGUACCGUGAGGGAAAGGCGAAAAGAACCCCGGCGAGGGGAGUGAAAAAGAACCUGAAACCGUGUACGUACAAGCAGUGGGAGCACGCUUAGGCGUGUGACUGCGUACCUUUUGUAUAAUGGGUCAGCGACUUAUAUUCUGUAGCAAGGUUAACCGAAUAGGGGAGCCGAAGGGAAACCGAGUCUUAACUGGGCGUUAAGUUGCAGGGUAUAGACCCGAAACCCGGUGAUCUAGCCAUGGGCAGGUUGAAGGUUGGGUAACACUAACUGGAGGACCGAACCGACUAAUGUUGAAAAAUUAGCGGAUGACUUGUGGCUGGGGGUGAAAGGCCAAUCAAACCGGGAGAUAGCUGGUUCUCCCCGAAAGCUAUUUAGGUAGCGCCUCGUGAAUUCAUCUCCGGGGGUAGAGCACUGUUUCGGCAAGGGGGUCAUCCCGACUUACCAACCCGAUGCAAACUGCGAAUACCGGAGAAUGUUAUCACGGGAGACACACGGCGGGUGCUAACGUCCGUCGUGAAGAGGGAAACAACCCAGACCGCCAGCUAAGGUCCCAAAGUCAUGGUUAAGUGGGAAACGAUGUGGGAAGGCCCAGACAGCCAGGAUGUUGGCUUAGAAGCAGCCAUCAUUUAAAGAAAGCGUAAUAGCUCACUGGUCGAGUCGGCCUGCGCGGAAGAUGUAACGGGGCUAAACCAU